rnacentral:rRNA from 1 species
CCAAUAGCGUAUAUUAAAGUUGUUGCAGUUAAAAAGCUCGUAGUUGAAUUUCGGGGUCAGUAGGUUGGUCGUGCCACAGGUACGUACUGGUCUCACUGAUUCCUCCUUCCUGAUGAACCGUAAUGCCAUUAAUUUGGUGUUGCGGGGAAACUGGACUGUUACUUUGAAAAAAUUAGAGUGUUUAAAGCAGGCUAACGCUUGAAUACAUUAGCAUGGAAUAAUGAAAUAGGACGUUCGAUCCUAUUUUGUUGGUUUCUAGGAUUGACGUAAUGAUUAAUAGGGAUAGUUGGGGGCAUUAGUAUUCAAUUGUCAGAGGUGAAAUUCUUGGAUUUAUUGAAGACUAACUACUGCGAAAGCAUUUGCCAAGGAUGUUUUCAUUAAUCAAGAACGAAAGUUAGGGGAUCGAAGACGAUCAGAUACCGUCGUAGUCUUAACCAUAAACUAUGCCGACUAGGGAUCGGAUGAUGUUAAUUUUUUAAUGACUCAUUCGGCGCCUUACG